ensembl:lncRNA
GGCUGCUGGCCCACCUGAGUGAUGACGCACUACUUCCUGGAUUCCGAUGUCGGCCUAGCUAACCGAGCUAACGAGUUUGUUUGCUGCUAACUCAAGGAUGACCGAAACGACCAACACCCUGCACCAAAAGCAAGCAGUUUGAGCGAAAUUAUGUACACCAAAGUUUUUUCGUCUGUUCUCAGUGAUGUACGGAAAGCGGAUUAUAAUUUCACCCGAGGAGUGAUUUGCCACAGUGAGGCUGUCUAUUAAGCUUCAAUCUUCCAUGCUAGUCAGUUUAGCUAACUUCAGUGGUGGAAGACUGAUAAGCGUCGCAAAAAACUUUUCAAGCAAGGGGGAUCUUGUAUAAAUCCAAACACUGUGGAAUGAAAUCUGCUGGAAAAUAGGAGAGAAAUAUGCAACAGAUAAUAUGAUCUACUGCUCCAUGGCUUCCAAAGAAGAAUCCACAAUAGGAGAGGACAUGUGUCUACAUACAGUGUGGCUGUGUAAAACAUCGCCUUGUCUUGAUGUGGCCAGUGUCAUUCCCGUGGCCCCUUUCAGUUGCUGUUUCGGAAUGAGUUGAUUCUGUUCUAACAGAGACUCUAAUCCUGUGGAUGAUCCACAGUGGCCCAGUUUCACAAUUUUAUCUUUUUUUGAUGUAAAUACAGUUUUAUUCUUAUUUUUUAACUGGAUUACAUUUUUUAUUUUGAUUUACUUUUCCCGGACCCGCCCGUAUUUGAAUUUGGGAACUCUCUUCUUUCCACCCUUCACAGUCUCUUCCUCCCACCCAGUGCCUAGAUACGUUAUUCUUGGGACAAUCACAGAAGUUCAUCAUCAGCUGCUGCACUUUUUUGCCUCCUUGUUGUUGUGCUUCUGCUCCUGCUGGCUGUUUAUUCACUACCUCCCUAAAUGUUUGUUUGAUUUUCAUUUAUAACAUGAGCACAGGUUUCUCCAUGGAUAGAGUACAGUUAUCUGUUCUUUUGUGUUCUAGCGCAGUAGUUUGAUGGUUGCACUUGAUGCCAGUAAACAGCCAUUUUAGUUGAAUUUAUUGCUGCACCAAAUAGUUACAUUAAGCCAUACAACAAAAAUAUACUACAGACACAUAUUUUUGUGUCAUCCCUGUAAAAAAAAUAUGAUCCUUUGUCCCAUA